rnacentral:rRNA from 1 species
GCCGCAGUUAACACAAUAAGUAUCCCACCUGGGGAGUACGAUCGCAAGGUUGAAACUCAAAGGAAUUGACGGGGGCCCGCACAAGCGGUGGAGUAUGUGGUUUAAUUCGAAGCAACGCGAAGAACCUUACCAGGGCUUGACAUCCCGGCAACCGGUGUAGAGAUACAUCUUCUUCUUCGGAAGCGCCGGUGACAGGUGGUGCAUGGUUGUCGUCAGCUCGUGUCGUGAGAUGUUGGGUUAAGUCCCGCAACGAGCGCAACCCUUAUUGUUAGUUGCUACGCAAGAGCACUCUAGCGAGACUGCCGUUGACAAAACGGAGGAAGGUGGGGACGACGUCAAAUCAUCAUGCCCCUUAUGUCCUGGGCCACACACGUACUACAAUGGUGGUCAACAGAGGGAGGCAAUAUCGCGAGAUGGAGCAAAUCCCUAAAAGCCAUCCCAGUUCGGAUCGCAGGCUGCAACCCGCCUGCGUGAAGUUGGAAUCGCUAGUAAUCGCGGAUCAGCAUGCCGCGGUGAAUACGUUCCCGGGCCUUGCACACACCGCCCGUC